rnacentral:lncRNA from 1 species
UCGAUUUCAUCAUACGUUUGAAAAAAAUGAUUGCUCUGUUUUUAACCUUAUUGUGUUUGACGUCUUGCUCUGUUUUAACUUAUAUGAAUGUUUUAAACUUAUAAUUUUUGUAUGUAAUUAUUAUCAAUUGGUUAAUGGAUAAUUGUACUGUGGUCGAGUAUGACAGGUGAGAUAUGCGGAUAAUGGUUUUGAAAAACUAAAAGAAAAAUCUCUUUGUGCAAAUCUCUUCUUAAAUAAGUUAAAAGAAGAGAUUUGUGCAAUCAUUUGCACUAAAUUUAGUAUCACACUAACUUAAGAUAACAAAUAAAAUUGUUACCUUUUUACGGAAAUAAACAAUUCA